CCUACGGGAGGCAGCAGUGAGGAAUAUUGGUCAAUGGCCGGAAGGCUGAACCAGCCAUGCCGCGUGAAGGUCAGUGCCCUAUGGGCGUUAAACUUCUUUUGUGCGGGAGCAAUAAUGGUCACGUGUGGCCAGACGAGAGUACCGUACGAAUAAGCAUCGGCUAACUGCGGGCCAGAAGCCGCGGUAAUACGGGGGAUGCAAGCGUUAUCCGGUUUUAUUGGUUUUAAAGGGUGCGUAGGCUAGGAGGUAAGUCAGAGGUGAAAUGCCCCCGCUCAACGGGGUGAAGGGCCAUUGCUACUGCCUUGCUGGAAUGCGGAUGCCGUGGGAGGAAUGUGUGGUGUAGCGGUGAAAGGCAUAGAUAUCACACAGAACACCGAUUGCGAAGGCAUCUCACGAAUCCGCGAUUGACGCUGAUGCACGAAAGCGUGGGUAUCAAACAGGAUUAGAUACCCCAGUAGUC
rnacentral:rRNA from 1 species